rnacentral:rRNA from 1 species
GAGUUUGAUCAUGGCUCAGAUUGAACGCUGGCGGCAGGCCUAACACAUGCAAGUCGAGCGGAUGACGGGAGCUUGCUCCUUGAUUCAGCGGCGGACGGGUGAGUAAUGCCUGGGAAUCUGCCUGGUAGUGGGGGGACAACGUUUCGAAAGGAACGCUAAUACCGCAUACGUCCUACGGGAGAAAGCAGGGGACCUUCGGGCCUUGCGCUAUCAGAUGAGCCUAGGUCGGAUUAGCUAGUUGGUGGGGUAAUGGCUCACCAAGGCGACGAUCCGUAACUGGUCUGAGAGGAUGAUCAGUCACACUGGAACUGAGACACGGUCCAGACUCCUACGGGAGGCAGCAGUGGGGAAUAUUGGACAGUGGGCGAAAGCCUGAUCCAGCCAUGCCGCGUGUGUGAAGAAGGUCUUCGGAUUGUAAAGCACUUUAAGUUGGGAGGAAGGGCAGUAAGUUAAUACCUUGCUGUUUUGACGUUACCGACAGAAUAAGCACCGGCUAACUCUGUGCCAGCCGCCGG